rnacentral:rRNA from 1 species
UGGGGAAUAUUGCACAAUGAGCGCAAGCCUGAUGCAGCCAUGCCGCGUGUAUGAAGAAGGCCUUCGGGUUGUAAAGUACUUUCAGCGGGGAGGAAGGGAGUAAAGUUAAUACCUUUGCUCAUUGACGUUACCCGCAGAAGAAGCACCGGCUAACUCCGUGCCAGCAGCCGCGGUAAUACGGAGGGUGCAAGCGUUAAUCGGAAUUACUGGGCGUAAAGCGCACGCAGGCGGUUUGUUAAGUCAGAUGUGAAAUCCCCGGGCUCAACCUGGGAACUGCAUCUGAUACUGGCAAGCUUGAGUCUCGUAGAGGGGGGUAGAAUUCCAGGUGUAGCGGUGAAAUGCGUAGAGAUCUGGAGGAAUACCGGUGGCGAAGGCGGCCCCCUGGACGAAGACUGACGCUCAGGUGCGAAAGCGUGGGGAGCAAACA